rnacentral:lncRNA from 1 species
AUGCUCAUUGAUCAGGUGCAAUUGCCGGCUGGCUAUAGAAACAAGGGCUCAGCAAAAAUCAAUGAAAGCAUUCUGUGGGAAUUAAUUGGCUACAUGGAAUUUGUAAUAAAGAACAGUAUAUAUUUUAUUAUUAUUUUGUGUGAUAUCUGUUAUAGGAACACAGCUUACAACAAAUUUAUGAAUAAGUCUGUGCCCUUUUUCCCCACUGGGAGCGAGUUGUUAGACUUUUCCCAGCAUGCCACUGGCAGAUGUGGUCCUGGCCUUGGACAUGGCUUGGAAGAAGGAGAAUGUUUCAGUUUGGAGCACAGAGGGUCAUCCAUUCCUGAAGGCCUCAAGCAGACGACACAUUCGGCAAGUAUGUCUUUGUGCUGCUGGUCCCUAGUCCCAGGAUCUUGCUCAGAUGUGCACAUGGACAGUGAGGUCAUCUGGAAAGCACAGCUCAGACCUUAUGUUCUCUCCCCUCCUGGGGCUGGGCCCACAGCCUCCUGACUCCUAUGUAGCCAGAGCUACAUAGCUAGUUCAAGGCAAGCAUGAACUGUAUAGCAAGGCCCUACCUCAAUAAGUAAAUAAAUAAACAAACCAAAAGCAUGUUUUAGUUAACUUUGAACUUCAACCUUCCCUCACCCUAUCCUAGGCUUCUGACUUGAGACAGAGUGCA